GCCCUCUUCGGAGGAAGUAGGAAAAGGUGGGGACCUUCGGGCCUGCCGUUGUUGGAUGAGUCCGCGGCCCAUUAGCUAGUUGGUAGGGUAAUGGCCUACCAAGGCUACGAUGGGUAGCUGGUCUGAGAGGAUGAUCAGCCACACUGGAACUGAGACACGGUCCAG
rnacentral:rRNA from 1 species